UACGUAGGUGACAAGCGUUGUCCGGAUUUACUGGGCGUAAAGAGCGCGCAGGCGGUCGAUCAAGUCGAGUGUGAAAGCCCCCGGCUCAACUGGGGAGGGUCAUUCGAUACUGAUCGACUCGAAGGCAGGAGAGGGUAGUGGAAUUCCCGGUGUAGUGGUGAAAUGCGUAGAUAUCGGGAGGAACAUCUGUGGCGAAGGCGACACCCUGGACCAGCACUGACACUGAGGCACGAAAGCGUGGGGAGCAAACAGG
rnacentral:rRNA from 1 species